rnacentral:rRNA from 1 species
UUGAACGCUGGCGGCAUGCCUUACACAUGCAAGUCGAACGGUAACAGGUCUUCGGAUGCUGACGAGUGGCGAACGGGUGAGUAAUACAUCGGAACGUGCCCAGACGUGGGGGAUAACGAGGCGAAAGCUUUGCUAAUACCGCAUACGAUCUAAGGAUGAAAGCAGGGGACCGCAAGGCCUUGUGCGUUUGGAGCGGCCGAUGGCAGAUUAGGUAGUUGGUGGGAUAAAAGCUUACCAAGCCGACGAUCUGUAGCUGGUCUGAGAGGACGACCAGCCACACUGGGACUGAGGCACGGCCCAGACUCCUACGGGAGGCAGCAGUGGGGAAUUUUGGACAAUGGGCGAAAGCCUGAUCCAGCAAUGCCGCGUGCAGGAUGAAGGCCUUCGGGUUGUAAACUGCUUUUGUACGGAACGAAAAGGCUCUGGCUAAUACCUGGGGCACAUGACGGUACCGUAAGAAUAAGCACCGGCUAACUACGUG